AGAGUUUGAUCCUGGCUCAGAGCGAACGCUGGCGGAAUGCUUAACACAUGCAAGUCGCACGCCCCGCAAGGGGAGUGGCGGACGGGUGAGGAACGCGUAGGAAUAUGUCCAGAGGUGGGGGACAACCCCGGGAAACCGGGGCUAAUACCGCAUAUGGGCCGAGGCCCAAAGCAGCGAUGCGCCUUUGGAGUAGCCUGCGUCCGAUUAGCUUGUUGGCGGGGUAACGGCCCACCAAGGCGACGAUCGGUAGCCGGUCUGAGAGGACGAUCGGCCACACUGGGACUGAGACACGGCCCAGACUCCUACGGGAGGCAGCAGUGGGGAAUAUUGGGCAAUGGGCGCAAGCCUGACCCAGCAAUUCCGCGUGGGUGAAGAAGGUCUUCGGAUUGUAAAGCCCUUUCGGCGGGGACGAUGGUGACGGUACCCGCAGAAGAAGCCCCGGCUAACUUCGUGCCAGCAGCCGCGGUAAUACGAAGGGGGCUAGCGUUGCUCGGAAUCAUUGGGCGUAAAGGGCGCGUAGGCGGCCCCGUUAGUCAGGCGUGAAAUGCCCAGGCUCAACCUGGGGACUGCGUUUGAUACGGCGGGGCUUGAGGAUGGAAGAGGGUCGCGGAAUUCCCAGUGUAGAGGUGAAAUUCGUAGAUAUUGGGAAGAACACCGGUGGCGAAGGCGGCGACCUGGUCCAUUUCUGACGCUGAGGCGCGACAGCGUGGGGAGCAAACAGGAUUAGAUACCCUAGUAGUCC
rnacentral:rRNA from 1 species